CCCCCCAGCCCCUCCUCUUUUCCACGAAGUGACAGAAGUUAUGAAGAUAUGCUUUAAGUGGCUGAUUUGCCCAACUCCCUUAUUUUGCAGAACGUCCUGCCAUAUUUGAAACUUACACUAUAAAAUCUUAUAGAAAGACAGUUCCUGAGUGUUAGCCUAAUAAAGCCACAUUUUUAUCUCUUAUGGGUUUUAGUUGCUAUUGGACGUUUCCUUCCUGGCCUCUAAGGACAUGUGAAGAAUAUCAGAGGAAGUCCUCAUCAGCUGAUGUUCAGAGAGGUUCCUACUUCCUCAGCUUCCUUCACACGGCUCCUUCUCAAGACAGCAUCAUUAAUCUACAUUGUCCCUUUCUUAUCAUGACUCUGCCAGUUUCUUAUCAUGUUUCUGCUGCCUGUCCUGCUGCCAGAGUAUCUUCAAACCUGUCAGCACUUUCUUGUAGAGAUAGUUCAUCUCAUAAUGAUGCGCUCUGUGGAGAGUGCUUCAUAUCAGGGUCGCUAUAUGUGGUGGUGGAAGAGCUCCAUGAAGAGAGAUGUAAGCAAUGCUUUUGUGACAAGCAGAGAGUCCGUGGGUCAGAACACUCAUUUGGCUGACCAGUUAGCUACCUGCAUGCAGCACAACUCACACCCAGACUACAACUGCGGGGGACCUUGUACGUGUGCAGCAUGGAGGUGUCAUCAGAUGGCACAGGUCCGGACACGCUGCUUCUCCCAGAAGACAGGAGGGACCGCCUGGGCGUAUUUGGACAACCAGCCGUGCUGCUAUCUCGCCAGUCCCGGUGCAGGGAGAUGCUCCGGAGCGCAUUGCGCUGUGUGA
rnacentral:lncRNA from 1 species